GCGUGCGCGGUGCGGGGCCGGCCGUGGCCGUGCCGGGCCCUCAGGAGGCCGCGAGCCUCCCGGGAAAGUUGCGUUUGUGCUGCCUGCGCACCCGACAGGAGGCGUGUUCCUCGGUGUGGAGGACAUUCCUCUCGCUUGCCACUGCUGAGUGACUUGAAAGGGUCCAUCCAGGGCCUGCCACAACCCUGAUGGAGUUAUCAAGUCCUGAUGAAUGUGAGUGAGUGGGAUGAGGAAAAAAAGGACUCCUGCCAAAUCACUGGAGCAUCCAAACUGCCUCAGGUUACAGCUUCAACUGAAAGAUUUUCUUCAUUUGUCGUCAGAAACAUCAUGCCAAAAACCAUUAGAAAGUGGAAGAGAUGUAAAAAGUUGUACAACUAAAAGCUGAAGAAAGAAAGAAGAUUUCACAAACAGUGAGGAUUUUGUCUGUGACCUGUUAUAACCCAGAGAGAACAUGCAAUGGGAUUUGUAUUUUUCUACAGAGUAGCUAUUUUCAGAGGCAAAAAGCCAAACACUUGCAUAACUCAAUGUGACCAUUCUGUGUAUCUGUGGCAUUUGUUACUGGACAACACUUUGACUGACAAUGUUGAGCUGGUAAAAGCAUGGGGCAUGCCUACAGAGAGCAGCUAGUUUAAAUAUUAUAAAAAUUAGAGUAAAUAGGAUCUCAGUCCUUCCCCUUUUUUAAGUAAAUUGAGUAAUUCUCCGAGCAUGUGAAAAAAAUAAUAAAAAACUUCUCUUCUGCCAAAGAACAGGCCAACGGUCUAGACUUUCUCUUAACUGGAAAUCAUCUAGAUUAAGAAACUCUGAAUAAACGCCUGACAGGCAAUUUCACUGUUUUAUGCAAUCAAAUACACUCUACUUAUUUGUGAAAUCCUACGAGAAAUAAUACAGCAUUUGAAUCGAGACCAAGGCUGGGAAAGACCUGCAUUUCUUACCGUUCUGUUCCUGCUGAUGUUAAGAUUCUUUGCAACCACGAGCUUUGCUACUGUAGCUUAGACCACAGUGACGAUUCAGCCAGCAUCAGAUCAGCUUUCCAUUGUUUGCAGACAUUUGGUGUGUUUGUAGGAAGAUACAGGUCUCUGUGUUUGUGUGUUUGUGCCUGUGUAUAAACUAUAAUUUGAUUACAAAGAAAUGUUGCACAGUUUAGUAGAAUCAGUCCAGGCCUGGGAGCCAGGAAUGCCUGGUGAAGCCAUUGCAAAGUUAUGAAGACCAGAAUUCCCUGUAUCAUCCUCUGGUUUUAGUCUCAUUUCGAUGCUGUCAAUCUGAGUUUUUUGAUGAAGAAGGGAUAAACAACUCCUGCUGACAUGAGUUAGCAAGAGCUCAGUUCCUCCAUGCUCUUAAACUGGGUUCCCUCGCCUUGAAGCACUCGCUGUCAGGAGUGGUUGCUUUUAUCAUCUGUCUUCACAGGACGUCAUGCAUCCUUAUGAUUCCUUAUGAUCUCUUCUUCGAAUUUUAGUGACCCUAAAGUGCUAAUGACAUGUUUAGUUCCCCAUCCAAGCACAACCAUAUGGAUGAGAUGAUAUCAGGAAACUCACUGAAACCAUUACAUCUCAGGCAUGCGGAAUUUCCAGAAAGUUCCUGUUUUCAGCAUUCAGUUUUAGUCUUCAAAUGCAGAAGCAUACAACCUGCUCACAUGAUGACAGCAGCAUAACAGGACAAACUGUCUUCUGCAGACAAAAUCCUAACUAUUUUUAACUUUAGAAAGAUCUGCAGAUGACUCUUCUUCCACUCAAUGUGGUUUUCCUCCCUUCCUUCUAGAGACCCUGCCCUUGGUAACUUUACAGUAAUUCUGUGUCAAGGGAUAUUGAUUCCUAACAGCAUCCCAAGCCUGUGAUGGCCUCUUCCAACCACCCAGAAGCUCUCCUGUAUCAGAUAGCUGAGAUGCUCCUGCUCAGACUUUCUUUUACCUUCAUGCUUCAGAAAGUUGCUCCAGAGAGAUCACUGUCCUUCCUCAGCUGCAAGGGAGGGACACAAGCGUGUACCCAGAGGAACAGCCUCACCAGGGCAAAGCAGGUGCUGAAGGUACAGCAUCAGACAGAGCCAGGAGAGUUAGACUCCUCCUGGAAGACCUGCUUACUUGUCCAUACACCAAACAGAGAGGAACCCUCACAGCAAACCCCCUAAUCCCACCCUGAGGGGCUGCAGCAUCUCCCAGCUGGGAUUUCACCCAGGAGGGAAGGCUGUGUCCAAAGUACAGCAACUCCUGGAGUGCGUGAAUCUGCAGGGAGGGUAAAUGUUAAGGGAGAGGGACGUGAUACUUGAUCCCGUGCUUUUUCAUGAGAUGGUUGUACUGGCUGGUUUUUUUAAAUGCUAAAAGCACAACCAAACCUUGAAUGAAAGGAAGCAUUGUGUAUGGAGCACAGGAAGAAUUUCUUUUACUGUAACUCGUAAGGAGAAAAGGAAAUAAAAGCAGAGCAGCAGUUAAAUGAAGGUCAGAUGAUUGUAUGAAUCAGAGGGUGAUGCAAGUUAUCGAGUGCACAGCUGAGUGCUCCGCCCAAUAAAACAGAUGUCACCAAGUACACAAAUACCACUUACCUAUCACUGCUUACCUCCAUGGAAAUAGUCUUCUUCCUCAGAGAGAGAGGACUGAGGUUUUUUUAGGAAAAUAUUUAUUAGAUAGGAUAGCAGUGAUGACAUUAAGGCAGACGCAAUUUCUUAAGAUUUUUAGGUAUUUCACUCCAUGUAGGUGAAAGCUGAGACACAGGCACUGCUCAGUCCUAAACACUGAAGAGGUGAUAGAGGCUGCUGUUGGGGUAUUUCCAGAGCUGUGUCUGGAAAUGUAUUUGCAAUUUCCAUUAAAAAGGGAAACACAAUGAAAUUCCUGCAGUGGCCUGCUUGGCCAAUAGGAAGCACACUGACUUCCAGAAAAACCCUGACACCAAAAACAAUCUUGUUAAGGUAAUAUAAUUGUUGCAUAUGAAGUGACUCCACAAGUGGAACCAGGAACCUUUGACUUUUUCUAGAAAGCUGAGUGGAGCUGCCCUCUAAGUGCCCUUACCUCCCCUCUGUGCGUCAGGGAUACUCUCAGUGCCAUACCAGCACAUUAAAAGCCAUGGAUUUUACCAGCAGAUAUCUCACUACCUUUUUUGAUAAAAAAGUGACUUACUUUUAUUCCAGAGCUUUUGCCAGUGGCAGACAUUUUCCAUGGCAGUCCAUUGCAUUGGAACAGUUGGAUUUCAUUGCUACCUUUAUCCAAGGCAAAAUUGCCUUUGCAGUAGAAGUGUUUUCUUUAUAUAAAAUAUUACUGUAGUAUUUGCUACUUUGUGAACCAUCAUUGGGUCUCACACUGGGAGGGUAUUACAAAAGUGCUGCACUUUUGAAGAAGGUACCAAGAGAAAUGGAAACAGUUUGUGGGUUUGCAGUUAAGGAGACCCUGGGCAGGAACCACCCCAGAGCUUUUUCCAGUUGUGGUCUAAAGAAGGAUGUGCACACACAUGGUAAAGAAUCUGCAAUCAAAAUUGGCAAGACAAGUAUUGCAGUAAGAAACUGAGAGCAGAGCUCUGCAGCACCUUGGGCCCAGGGUGGGAAUCAUCAGUAAAGCCAUGUCCUGGGAUCUGGCAAGACUGUGAGUGGAGACAGGUGUCAGGGACACCCCAGACCUGAAGGUGCAGUGAUGGUGGUGCAGCAGAUGAAGCUGUCAGUAACUCAUACAAUAACAAUGUAACGGAAUGGUUUGGGUUAGAAGGAACCUUUAGAGGUCAUCUUCUUCCAGCCCCCUGCCAUGGGCAGGGAUACCUUUCACUAGACCAGGUUGCUCAAAGCCCCAUCCAACCUCACCUUGAACACUUCCAGGGAUGGGGCAGGCACCACUUUUCUGGGCAUCUUGUGCCAGGGCCUCACCACCCUCACUGCAGAAAACUUCUUCCUUAUAUCUAACCCAAACUGACCCUCUUUUCAUUUAAAACCAUUUAGUUUAAACACCAUGAGCACA